GACGAACGCUGGCGGCGUGCUUAACACAUGCAAGUCGAGCGGAAAGGCCCUUCGGGUACGUCGAGCGGCGAACGGGUGAGUAACACGUGGGCGAACCUGCCCUCAGCUCUGGGACAACUCCGGGAAACCGGGGCGUAAUACCGGAUACGACCGCUGCCGGCAUCGGUGGUGGUGGAAAGUUCUUCGGCUGAGGAUGGGCCCGCGGCCUAUCAGCUUGUUGGUGGGGUGAUGGCCUACCAAGGCGACGACGGGUAGCCGGCCUGAGAGGGCGACCGGCCACACUGGACUGAGACACGGCCCAGACUCCUACGGGAGGCAGCAGUGGGGAAUAUUGCGCAAUGGGCGGAAGCCUGACGCAGCGACGCCGCGUGAGGGAUGAAGGCCUU
rnacentral:rRNA from 1 species